GAUAAUGCCUUUUAAUCCUGACUACUGAAUCUUCAACAUCCACCCUACCCUUCUGCAAGUAGAGCACAAAUUCUACAAGACCAAGGACUAUGUUCAUGUCUUGUUCCCUGCACAGUGCUCGACACCUAAUAGGGACAUGAUAAAUAUUUAUGGAAUGAAUGAAUGAACUUAGUUAAUUCAAGACAUACUUCAAAGACCCUUUACAAAACCCAAUUGACACGGUUCAAGGACUAGGCAUGAAAGACAAAAAUUUUUUUUCACAGGAUGGAUGAGACUUGGCAGCAGUAUAUAUGGACAAAAAUCUGAGAAGUUUUAUUUUUCUCAAGCUUAAUGUGAGAAGAGGGCCAACUGUGCAAUUCAUCUGCUAAGUAAGCUAAUGCCAUCUCAGCCUAAAUUAAUAACUAAUAGAAGCAGUGUGUCCAGAGGAUAGGAAAUAAUGGUUCCCCUGCAGUUUUUACUGGUUAGACCACACCUAGAGGAAGGUUGUACAGGUCUGAGUGCACAUUUUAGGAAGAAAUACUGACAAAAUGAAUAGUCCAGAAACAACAUCUCAUAGGUGACAGCAGAAGGAAUUGGGAAGCAUGAGCACAUGCCUGGCAUUGCCAACCAGAGUAAGAGAGGUAUGUGGAGCAGUCCCACAUCCCAUCACCUUGGCCAACCUCAGCAGAGCCACCAAUUCAGCCAUCUCAGAUGCAUGAGCAAUGAACACUUGUUUUACACUCCUGAGGUUUUGUGAUUGUUGCCUAGUUCAAUUGCAAUAAUAGAUAAAUGACAAAAAGAGAAACAGUGGAAGAUCUAUUAAAUACAAGUGGAAGCAAAAUAGUUCCUUUUCCUUAGAAGAAGGGAAUGGAAAAACCGAUUCAAAUGGCUCUCAGGAAGAAAACUUUGGAUUCAGAAAAUUGUAGUUUUAUAAGGAUUGAAGCCAACCAUGAAAAGAACAGGCUUCAGUGAAUUUGAGCUUGGAAACCAACAAAGCUGGCCACCACACCACAGCUUCUCCUGAACCUGACUUGCUCUGGCCUAAUACUACUGAGCUUGAGAAUUCACUUAGGUCAAGGAUAUUAUCUGUUUUGUUUUUACGUCACUAUACAUUGAGAUAACAGUGCAGGAUCUGGUGCAUAGUAGGUAUGCAAUACAUAGUAGGUAAACCAAAAAUGAAUGGAGGAUGCCAAAACUGGCCUCCAGUCCCUGGAUCCAAGAGGGAAGAUGGCUGAAACUGGCUCAAGAAUCUUUCAUCAGAGGUCACCACCAGCGCACCAUGAAGUCUGAUCCACUGACACCAACAUCCCCUUGAAAUCAGGCUCCCUUCCUCCGUUCUUUCAUUGCUAUCAUUCAGAGUUACCACUUUCUUUUAAUCACCAUGAAGAGGGAUCCCACGUCCUUUACCAGGCCAUGAACAAAAGGAAGCAGGCUGGUUUUGGCCUGCAGGGUAUAGUUCCUUGACCUCGGCUUCAUCCAAACACUCUAAUUUCAUCUCGUAUUUGUAUCCUUGGAGUGCCCAAUGCCAGCAAUACAGCCUACCCCUGGAAGAUGCCCAGUAUUGACCAUUUGAAUUUGAUAAAAGAGAUCCAGAACUCAAAGAUCCUUGAUGCUUUUUAUCAAUUCCACUAAACGUCAAGGACAGGAAAUAAAAACAUUUUUCUCUUCCGACUCAAACACAAUACCCCUUUGUGAAGCUGCUAAAAAUCUAGAAAUGGCAAAUCUGGGAAAAUUUUCAGGUGAGCGAUAGGCAUCAAAAUAUUUCAUUUUUGCUAAAAAUAUCUCUUAAGUUUUUCUUAGCAUUCCAACUCACAUCACACUGAAUUUGAGUACAAAGAACAGAAUCUGUUUUACCCUUGUAUUGGCAGUGACUUUGAGGUUAUACAAAGGAGUCAAAGUAGCCUGUCCUAUGACACUGAAGUCCCUGUAGGCAUUUGCCAGUUCAGAGCAGUUCCUUUCAGAAUGGAAACAGGAAAGAUGGAAAAGGGAAGAGAGAUCAAUGCAAAAUUCUGUAUCUUCAUUACUUGGCAACUGGAGUUUCAAUCAAGGACCCAAGAGGUAACUUAGGCAAGUUGGGGAGUCCCUGAAAGCUAAACCCAUGACAGUGAAUCUUGUGUAGUCCUCAGCAGCUGCCCCAGCACAGAUAAAUGAGGCUUUCUAGGAAGCAUAAGCAUCCUAAUGGCAGUAAGGCUGAUCCAGUGUCCAGAGGGAAACGUGGUGGCAACAGAAGACACGUGUGGUCUGGGGUAGGCUUUGAUGUUGCAGCUCCACAGCAACAGAGACACAUGAGAAGAGAUCAAAAUAGAAGAACCACCCAGCCUUGCUUGGAGAGGAGGUGGAAUGGAAUGGAAUAACUAGGUAACUAGGUAAUAGAAAACCAGGUAACUAGGUAAUGGAAUAAUUAGGGAACCACUGGGCACCUGGAGGCUUCUGGGCUCUUCUCUACUCUGCAGGCUUCUCUCUGACACAUUAGAGGCCUCCCAGACUCAACUGCUCCCCUCGACAGGAGCAGAAAAUAGACGACAGCUACAUUUUCUUCAAGUCUUGCCAAGAAAAACCUUGCAGGGUUAAGAACACAAAAGCCUUCAAAUAUCUUGCUACUGAGGUUCUUUCUUAUAAGUUUCAGUGUAUACCCACACACAGAGAGUGAAGAAAAUUCACUUUGAUUCAAAGGGUUCAAGAAUGUUCACAGUCUUUCGAGGAGUCACUAUGUUUUUAAACUCUUUCAACAGCUCUAUUUGUUCUCAAAAGAGUCAUAGAUUUAUUUAAUAGCAGUUUAUCUUUCAGUUGGCCCAUUACAAGCCGGAGCAUAACACGUAAAGCAUCCAGCAUAAUCACAGGUUUGGAAUUGAGAAGGCUUGGUGGGGGUGGGGGGGUAUCUGAAAUAUAAAGACAAUAUAAAGGCAAAGAGUUUGUCAUGUUAUUUGCUGCAGGGAAGCAUGUCCAUAGGUGAAAAAGUUGAAUUUCACAUAAAAAUAUAGAAGUAAACAUCUGGAGAAGAAAGACUUUCAUGGCAGGUUUGUGAAUACGCCCCUAAAAAUCCAUCGCCCAUUUUAAAGAAACAACUAGGGUCUGUGGAGCAACAGGGUGAAACAAUCGUUCACUUAAGAUACAGUAACAUCUUUCUACCAAGUGAUAAAAACCUAUCACAAAAUAAAUACACACCACAUGUGCUCCAUAAAAGUAUAACACAGAGGCGCCUUUGUUUUUUUAACAGAAACCUGGCCAAGAUGUGAAGACCCAGACUGUGGCGCUAUGUUUGGGACUCAGAGGUCUGACACGGGAGCUGAGACUCAGACCAAAGAAUUAAGAUAGUAACAACAUGUUGUCAAUUAAUCAUGCUCAUAAGGUGGUCAAAAUGACCAUGAGGACACAUUUCAGUCUACCGGACAGUAUGCCAGCUUUCAUUCUUGUGCUCAAAGACAAAGAAGAAAGCUUUAAUUUGGUGCAAUAUGGGCCGAAAGUUUAGUUGUCAUAUAUAUUAAACUCAGCCUACAGUCUUACUUGAGUAAAUUUCAUGAAAAAUCCAAUUUUCUUAAAUGUAAGUUAUGUUAGGGAAAAAACACUAUCUCCACAGGAGCUCAGAGAUGUCCCUAACAAUACACUCAAACAUAUUUCAUGUAUUUUAUGUUUUUAUGUUUAAACUUAUAAAUGUAAAUUAAUAUAUUUCUAUUAAAAUUCAUAAAAUAUAUAUGUACAUUUAUAAUAUAAAUUAAAUACCUUCAGCUGAGUUAGACAUUCUGUGCCUUGAAGGACACCAGUUAUUUUAGGAACAAAUACUCUUUAUUGAGGAAGAAAGUGCUGGAUCCACCAAUGGAAUGAACACCCACAUCUCUUAGACAUAGUUCCAUGCGUUACCUUCUUCCCCACAAACCGCAUGUUUGUGCAAUUAGCUUUCAUCAAAUCAACAUAUUAGUCACCAAAAAACAUGCUGAUGAAAACAAAGACAGGCUAGUUGCUUAUUUCUUGAAAGUGAACAGUUCCUUUGGCCAUUAUAUAAGAUAAUCAGUUUUGCCAGCAUCGAAACAGAUAAUGCUUUAAAAAUAAUGUGAGGACAAUGUUACAAUUUUUUCAGUUCUUAUUUUCAAUUUAUUGGCGUUGACUCAUAUGAGCCCUAUAUAGCAAGUUGUUCUCUCUUACUGUAGAUACCUGCACUUACAUACAUAUAAGACCAUCCUCUGACUUCAGGAAAUACUGAGGUCAGGUUCCCUGGCAGUAGGGAAGCUGCUAUGAUGGGAUGGAUUUCUGGAAACAAUUGAAAUAUCAACGUGGAAUAAACUUUAUAAAUACUUAUCUUAAGGGAGUGUUGGCAGAAGCAAGGAAAAUGGGUCAACUUCAGGAAAUAGCACAGCCUAUUUAAAGGCAAAAAAAUCAAGAAACAAAAGGGAGUUCAGUUGCUGGUAAAUCAGUUUUCUCUUUCUAACAAGUUUAUUUAUAUGCAUUUUUCUCUUCUUCCUAUAAGGAAGGUAUUUUUUCCUUCCUUUAAGUUUUUACUGUUAAAUUCACACAUUCACAUUUUUUUAGUCCUUAAUUACCCUGACUGAGUAAUUUGAGAGCAGAAACCUCUGGCCAUCAGGAAAAAAAAAAAGAAAAGAAAGAAAGAGAGAAAAACACAUGUCCAAAAAUUCCCUAAGCUUUUCCAUAUUCCUAAAAGCAAAAUGUAACACUAGCAGUGUAAAUAAAAUCAAUACACUGAGAACUCCUAAGGCUGGUUCUCAAUGGAACCAGCCAUUCCAUUCUUGGAAUGAAAACCUGAAACGGAAACGAGGAAGAUGAAAUGAGAUUCUACCUAAAAAGACUCCAACAGAUUGAGGGCUAGUGUGAAAAUCCCAGGAUGUGUAAUGAGGGGAGGGGAGUAAGCUCUAUGGUCAGAGCUCCCAUCCAGCCCAGAGUGGCCCAGCAGAAGUCAGGCAAACACAGACGCAGUCCACAUCGCUGCUCUACCACAAGCAUGGCUGAGUUCGGCUUUUCAGAUGUCGGACCUGGGGUGGGCCCUAGGAGGGGCUCAGAAACCAGAGCGACUUUUCAAGUUGUGUCCUUUAUGGUAUUUGCAGGGAAAGGGCCAACAAUAGCCAAGGGGCUGUUUACCAAAGUCAUUCUCCAGCACCUCCCACAGAAACGCUUGUGGAAAUCACUGCCAAAGCUUACAUGGGAAUCAAACAGAAGGAACUGAGCACAGCCAUGUAAAACAUGCCCCAGUCAUUUCGUAAGCUCUGUUUCUUCACAGAUGGCUGCUGUGGAAGAAAUGACUGCUUACAGAAAGCAGAGAUCCAAAAAUUAAUCCAGCCACUGGGAUGAAAGCAGGAUGAAAAAUGAUCCUGUUCUAUAAUUCACAUUGGUGAUUUACCAGGUCUGGGCUAUAAGACAUCUAGGGAUAAAACUGCUACUCAAAAGCAGAUCUGGCAAAGGUGAGGAAACGGUGUGAAGGGCAGGUACUGCUGAAGAUCUCUAGAGUCAAAAAAGGAUUCACCAAAUUAAAAUAGAAUGUUUCACAGACCAGUAAAGCCAGAUGGGAGUUGGUAGCUCAUACAUAUCCUUGUAUUUCCAAGAGAUGGGAGACUCCAGACUCUGAAAGGGACCAAACACAAGCUCACCUGCUGCGGCAGUACCCAGAGCUGAAAAGAGAGGAUGCCAAAGGAAUCCAGCCUUCCCGAAUCUACACUCUCAAGGCUGGGCUUUGGGACUCUAAGGGUCUAAUAAGCUAUGGCUCUUAUUUUAUAUCAUUACAACAACUGCUUUGGUUCCUUCAUUCUUUCACUACUUACCUGUGCUUCUUUACAUUUCACAGGUUGAUGAUACAUUACUGCUUUGGAUUUCCCUUCAGUUUCAUGGUUCAAUCCAAUGCCCACGUCUACAUUUCUUUCACUGCCUUUAUACUGCUGUACAGUUAGACUUCAUCUGCUACUCCACACACACACAAAUCUCUCCCUACUUCCUCACUCCUCAUUUCCUGUUGGGAGCUAAGUUUAAAGCUUCAUCCUUCUAGAUCUACUCAACAUUCCUUUUUAAAAGGUAGAGAACAAGGAACGUAGCAGCUGUGUUCGCUGAGCCAUUGAAUUCACACUGCCCAGCAGCCCUUGAAAGUCAACUGCAGCGUCCAUCAGGGCAAGGACUGACAGUUUGUUUCAACACUGAAUAUGGUUAGUACCUGGCAAGGAGCAGGAGUUCAAUAACUCUUGGCAAUAAUUCGUCAUCAUUUUCCCCCUGAAAUCCAUUUUAUUAUUCUUUUUUUUUCUUUUCAGGCUAGAGUGCAG
rnacentral:lncRNA from 1 species